AUUGAACGCUGGCGGAAUGCUUUACACAUGCAAGUCGAACGGCAGCACGGGGGCAACCCUGGUGGCGAGUGGCGAACGGGUGAGUAAUAUAUCGGAACGUGCCCAGUCGUGGGGGAUAACGUAGCGAAAGUUACGCUAAUACCGCAUACGAUCUACGGAUGAAAGCGGGGGAUCGCAAGACCUCGCGCGAUUGGAGCGGCCGAUAUCAGAUUAGGUAGUUGGUGAGGUAAAGGCUCACCAAGCCAACGAUCUGUAGCUGGUCUGAGAGGACGACCAGCCACACUGGGACUGAGACACGGCCCAGACUCCUACGGGAGGCAGCAGUGGGGAAUUUUGGACAAUGGGCGCAAGCCUGAUCCAGCCAUUCCGCGUGCAGGACGAAGGCCUUCGGGUUGUAAACUGCUUUUGUACGGAACGAAAAAGCCUUGGUUAAUACCCAGGGUCCAUGACGGUACCGUAAGAAUAAGCACCGGCUAACUACGUGCCAGCAGCCGCGGUAAUACGUAGGGUGCAAGCGUUAAUCGGAAUUACUGGGCGUAAAGCGUGCGCAGGCGGUUAUAUAAGACAGAUGUGAAAUCCCCGGGCUCAACCUGGGAACUGCAUUUGUGACUGUAUAGCUAGAGUGCGGCAGAGGGGGAUGGAAUUCCGCGUGUAGCAGUGAAAUGCGUAGAUAUGCGGAGGAACACCGAUGGCGAAGGC
rnacentral:rRNA from 1 species